GUGCUCGCUUCGGCAGCACAUAUACUAAAAUUGGAAUGAUACAGAGAAGAUUAGCAUGCGCCCUCUGCAAGGAUGACACACAAAUUCAUGAAGUGUUCCAUAUUUUU
ensembl:snRNA U6 U6 spliceosomal RNA